AUAUCUGAUAAAGUUCUAGAUAAAGAUUGAUUAUGACAGUUUAUUAUCUAUAUGUCUUGGCUAAAUUUUGUGCCAGCAGCCGCGGUAAUACAAAGGAGACUAGUGUUAUUCAUCUUUAUUAGGUUUAAAGGGUACCUAGACAGCUUAAACAGCCUCCGCAAGAGGUUAAGGUUAGCUAGAGUUUUAUGUAAAAGGAAAAUGAAGAACUAAAUAUGUAGAGAUAUAAUUUUUUGAUAUUUUUAGGACUGAUAAAGGCGAAAGCAUACCUUUAUGUAAAAACUGACGUUGAGGGACGAAGGCAUUGUGUAACAAACAGGAUUAGAUACCCUAGUAGUCUUUGCAGACAAUGAUGAAUGCCAUAAGUCAGAAUUAUUUGGUUUAUAAAUGAAAGUGUAAGCAUUCCACCUCAAGAGUAAUGUGGCAACGCAGGAACUGAAAUCAUUAGACCGUUUCUGAAAACAGUAGUGAAGUAUGUUAUUUAAUUCGAUGAUCCGCGAAAAACCUUACCACAACUUGUAUAUUAAUUCAAUGAAUUAAUCACACGCGUUGCAUGGUUGUCUUUAGUUGAUGUC
rnacentral:rRNA from 1 species